AUAGGUUGGGUUAACUCGUGAUCCGAUCCGACCUAUUUACAUUCGAUUCGAUCUAUUUUUAAAGACUCGUGGGCCCGAAUCGGGGUCUCAAAUUGGACAUUUUCCAUUUUAUGGUUCGGGUUUGGGUUUACUGAUUCUCGACCCGACUCAUUAUUUUUGGGGUCAAUUUUAGAUCAUUUACCCAACGAUCCGAUCAGACCCGAAUGCGGAUUAUCUAUUUUAGGCCCACAAUGAUUCAAUGAUUCUAUAGGUUUUCCUUUAUGGACAAAGGCUAGGUGGAAAUGGUGAGAGGCUCUACUGCAAGAUGGUAAGCUUUUGGACAUUAGUCUCAUUGGUCUGGCAGCAAGUAACUGCCCUUUGGCCUGUCUUGCCACCCUCCACAAAGUAGAGGAUCAGUUAAGGACUUAAAAUGUGCUAUCCAAUUGGUUAUUUCUCUUCUAGCAAAAAAAAAAAGGUUAUUUCUUUGGAAAUGGCUGCAAUAUUUAACUUUAAAUCCCAUUGAGUGUGAUUGAUUGGACAAACGAUUGGAUCCCUCUGCCAUCUAUCCAUCCAUUGCUCUAAAAACCUGCAUGAGAGACCAAGUUGCCUUUGUCUACCUUUGUUCUUAUGAUGUAUUUAGUUUUUUAAAAGGAAACACAUAAGGCUACUUACUAUAUUUUAGAUUCUUGAAAGGAUCCUAUGACAUGCAAGACCUGUCUCAGUGAACCCACAAACCCACAAGGGCUUCAGAAAAGCCAUGGUUCUUCUGAAUCUACUCAUUAUAUCUUAUUCUCACAUAUCCACAACCAUUAUAAGAUGAUGUUCUUUGCUCUUUUUUUGUUAUCGCUGCAUUUCACCAGCAUGGCCCGCCCCGGUUCCGAACUGGAUCCAAAUUUUUUGGGUUGGGUUCAGGUUAUACAUGGACCUGAUCCGGCCCGAAUGAUCCGUUGGGUUAAAAAUUGUAGUC
rnacentral:lncRNA from 1 species